GACGAACGCUGGCGGCGUGCCUAAUACAUGCAAGUUGAGCGCUGAAGGUUGGUACUUGUACCGACUGGAUGAGCAGCGAACGGGUGAGUAACGCGUGGGGAAUCUGCCUUUGAGCGGGGGACAACAUUUGGAAACGAAUGCUAAUACCGCAUAAAAACUUUAAACACAAGUUUUAAGUUUGAAAGAUGCAAUUGCAUCACUCAAAGAUGAUCCCGCGUUGUAUUAGCUAGUUGGUGAGGUAAAGGCUCACCAAGGCGAUGAUACAUAGCCGACCUGAGAGGGUGAUCGGCCACAUUGGGACUGAGACACGGCCCAAACUCCUACGGGAGGCAGCAGUAGGGAAUCUUCGGCAAUGGACGAAAGUCUGACCGAGCAACGCCGCGUGAGUGAAGAAGGUUUUCGGAUCGUAAAACUCUGUUGGCAGAGAAGAACGUUGGUGAGAGUGGAAAGCUCAUCAAGUGACGGUAACUACCCAGAAAGGGACGGCUAACUACGUG
rnacentral:rRNA from 1 species